AUCAAGCUAUUAACAACAUCCUUUGUUGCUUCCAGCCUCAUUUUCACUCUCCUGUUUUCUUUGUUUCUAGAUGGAAGUUCUGCAAGAAUCACGGAUGAUGAUUCCAGAUUGUCAGCGUCGAUUGGAAACGGCCCACAGUGACCUGGCACAACUAUUGGAAAGCGAGAAAGAAUUGGAAGACACUGAGGAAUACAAGGAAGCCCAGGCCACAAUAGGAUCAAUCAAACUAGAAGCCUAGACCCUAUUUCUUAAUUAUGAUGUUUUGUUUUGUUAUAAGUAUUUGCACUGUCCAUUCCAUUCACCCCACUCCAUCCCCCAAAUUUCAGUUUUAGGCAUUAUGACCCUGUUAUUAUUAUGCUUGGGAUUGAUGGAUGAACCCUGUGUAAUCUGAGUUCUCUUACAUUGCACAACAGAUUGUGUACCCAAACAAAUUUUGUGCUACAUCAUGAUGAAAUAAUGAAACUUUAAAUAAAAGUACAUGCUGACAA